rnacentral:rRNA from 1 species
GUGGGGAAUAUUGGACAAUGGGCGAAAGCCUGAUCCAGCCAUGCCCCGUGUGUGAAGAAGGUCUUCGGAUUGUAAAGCACUUUAAGUUGGGAGGAAGGGCAGUAAGUUAAUACCUUGCUGUUUUGACGUUACCGACAGAAUAAGCACCGGCUAACUUCGUGCCAGCAGCCGCGGUAAUACGAAGGGUGCAAGCGUUAAUCGGAAUUACUGGGCGUAAAGCGCGCGUAGGUGGUUUUGUAAGUUGGAGGUGAAAUCCCCGGGCUCAACCUGGGAACUGCCUCCAAAACUGCAUGACUAGAGUACGGUAGAGGGUAGUGGAAUUUCCUGUGUAGCGGUGAAAUGCGUAGAUAUAGGAAGGAACACCAGUGGCGAAGGCGACUACCUGGACUGAUACUGACACUGAGGUGCGAAAGCGUGGGGAGCAAACAGGAUUAGAUACCCCUGUAGUCC